rnacentral:rRNA from 1 species
UACGUAGGGUGCAAGCGUUGUCCGGAAUUAUUGGGCGUAAAGAGCUCGUAGGCGGUUUGUCGCGUCUGCUGUGAAAACUCGGGGCUUAACCCUGGGCCUGCAGUGGGUACGGGCAGACUAGAGUGCGGUAGGGGAGACUGGAAUUCCUGGUGUAGCGGUGAAAUGCGCAGAUAUCAGGAGGAACACCGGUGGCGAAGGCGGGUCUCUGGGCCGAUACUGACGCUGAGGAGCGAAAGCGUGGGGAGCGAACAGG